GAUGAAGAACGUAGCAAAUGCGAUAAGUAGUGUGAAUUGCAGAAUCCCGUGAACCAUCGAGUCUUUGAACGCAAGUUGCGCCCGAAGCCAUUAGGCCGAGGGCACGCCUGCCUGGGCGUCACACGUCGUUGCCCCCCCAUCUACUCCUUCGGGAUUGCGGGGGGCGGAUGAUGGCCUCCCGUGCGCCUCGUCGCGCGGUUGGCAUAAUUGCCAAGUCCUCGGCGACGCACGCCACGACAAUCGGUGGUUGCGAAACCUCGGUUGCCCGUCGUGUGCGGUCGUCGCGCAUCGAGGGCUCGAAAAAAUUGCCGGGCUCCGGCUCGGCUUUCAACGCGACCCCAGGUCAGGCGGGGUUACCCGCUGAAUUUAAGCAUAUCAAUAAGCGGAGGA
rnacentral:misc_RNA from 1 species